UACGAAGGGGGCUAGCGUUGCUCGGAAUACUGGGCGUAAAGGGCGCGUAGGCGGCUUGAUAUGAGUACGGACUGGUGAAAUUCCUGGCUUAACCUGGGGCUUGCAUACGAGACGUAUGGUCUGAGUGGCGGAAGAGGGUCGUGGAAUUCCAGUGUAGAGGUAGAAAUUCGUAGAUAUUGGAGGAACACCAGUGGCGAAGGCGGCUCACUGGACCGGUACUGACGCUGAGGAGACG
rnacentral:rRNA from 1 species